ACGGCCCCCCACCCCGCCGCCGUGCCGACUGCCGACGUGCCGGACGGGCGGCGGCCACCGGCGGGUGGCUUCAGCGAACGUCCGCAUUGGUGCGGCAGGAGUAGCGCGGGCUUCCGGCUCCGAACUCAGACGCGGAUUCGACGGGAGGGCUCUGCGGCAGGGAUGGAGGGAGGGAGGGAGGCUUCAGCGAGCGUCCACGUCAGCAGCGGCGGUGGCCACGCGGUUCCUCCCGUAGCCGCGGGCUUCCGGCGCCGAGGCUCCGUCCCGCGGACUCGGCGGGAGAGGUCCGUGCGGCGCGGCGACCCGUGGUGAACGCCGGUGCUGGUGAAUUCGAACCGGUUCGUCGCGACGGCCGCGAUUCUGCUCGGCGGCGGCUGGUCGCCGGCUCGCGUUUGGAUCUGGGGAGCGGAUCGAGCCGCGCCAACACAAGGGGAUCCAUUCCACGCUCACCACAGGCAGAGAAGGAAUCAUCACAGAUUGGCUGGUUGGAGCCUACACAUUUUUUUAGAUCAUCAAGGUCAGAAUACCCUGGUUCCAAUUUUUCAUUAGAAAUCUGGAGCCUACAAACACACCAUUUGUCGCUGAUAUAUUAGUAGCUUACACAAUCACAGUGGGUGGCAAUUAUUAGUUUGGUCAGAUGGAGCAUAUUAACACUCAUGUGUUAAUCUAAAAAAGGCAUUAAUGUACGUGGAAUGUGUAAUGA